rfam:Candidatus Arthromitus sp. SFB-mouse-Japan DNA, complete genome.
UAAAGCUAGGUUUGUGGUUGAAAAUCGAUGCCAGUCGCAGGCGAAACGAUCCACGUAAAUUAAAAAUAGAUUUUUAAUUAUCAUGGUGCGGCUUAGGAGUAAGACCUGCCAUUUAUGUAUGAGAGGGUUAGUAGUGAGGAAUUAGUUUUUAUUAGCGAAAGCUCCAGCAGGCGAGUGUGGGGUAAAAGACCAGGUCAACUAGCUUUA